CCUACGGGUGGCAGCAGUAGGGAAUAUUGCACAAUGGGCGAAAGCCUGAUGCAGCAACGCCGCGUGCGUGAUGAAGGUCUUCGGAUCGUAAAGCGCUUUUCUGGGAGAUGAGAAAGGACAGUAUCCCAGGAAUAAGUCUCGGCUAACUACGUGCCAGCAGCCGCGGUAAAACGUAGGAGGCAAGCGUUAUCCGGAUUCACUGGGCGUAAAGCGCGUGCAGGCGGUGCGGUAAGUUGGGCGUGAAAGCUCCCGGCUCAACUGGGAGAGGUCGUCCAAUACUACCGUACUAGAGAGCAGAAGAGGAAGAUGGAAUUCCCGGUGUAGUGGUGAAAUGCGUAGAUAUCGGGAGGAACACCAGUGGCGAAGGCGAUCUUCUGGUCUGUUUCUGACGCUCAGACGCGACAGCUAGGGUAGUAAACGGGAUUAGAUACCCCGGUAGU
rnacentral:rRNA from 1 species